UAGCAUCCACAUCCUACACAUUCAUCAUCUACACCAUCCACUUCCUACACAUUCAUCUACACCAUCCACAUCCUUUACAUUCACAUAUACCAUCCACAUCCUACACAUUCAUCAUCGACACCAUCCACAUCCAUCUACACCAUCCACAUCCUACACAUCCAUCCACAACUUGCACAUUUAUCUCAUCUAUACAAUGAUACGUUUACACACACUACACAUACAUCCUCUCAUCACACAUCUUACAAGCAUUUGUAAAUAUCCCUAUACUCAAAUCAUUAUUACCCGUCUAGCACCUUCAAAUUUUGAUUUCUCUAUUCCGUAACAUUCUCCCUUCGUGAACUCCAUCAUCAU